GAUGAACGCUGGCGGCGUGCUUAACACAUGCAAGUCGAACGGAAAGGCCCAAGCUUGCUUGGGUACUCGAGUGGCGAACGGGUGAGUAACACGUGGGCGAUCUGCCCUGCACUUCGGGAUAAGCCUGGGAAACUGGGUCUAAUACCGGAUAGGACGAUGGUUUGGAUGCCAUUGUGGAAAGUUUUUUCGGUGUGGGAUGAGCUCGCGGCCUAUCAGCUUGUUGGUGGGGUAAUGGCCUACCAAGGCGUCGACGGGUAGCCGGCCUGAGAGGGUGUACGGCCACAUUGGGACUGAGAUACGGCCCAGACUCCUACGGGAGGCAGCAGUGGGGAAUAUUGCACAAUGGGCGCAAGCCUGAUGCAGCGACGCCGCGUGGGGGAUGACGGCCUUCGGGUUGUAAACUCCUUUCGCUAGGGACGAAGCGUUUUUGUGACGGUACCUGGAGAAGAAGCACCGGCUAACUACGUG
rnacentral:rRNA from 1 species